GACGAACGCUGGCGGCGUGCUUAACACAUGCAAGUCGAACGGAAAGGCCCUGCUUUUGUGGGGUGCUCGAGUGGCGAACGGGUGAGUAACACGUGAGUAACCUGCCCUUGACUUUGGGAUAACUUCAGGAAACUGGGGCUAAUACCGGAUAGGAGCUCCUGCUGCAUGGUGGGGGUUGGAAAGUUUCGGCGGUUGGGGAUGGACUCGCGGCUUAUCAGCUUGUUGGUGGGGUAGUGGCUUACCAAGGCUUUGACGGGUAGCCGGCCUGAGAGGGUGACCGGCCCCAUGGGGAUGGGGAAACGGCCAGGACUCCUCGGGGGGGAAGGGGGGGGAAAUUUGGCCAAAUGGGCGGAGGCCUGGGGCAGCAACCCCGGGGGGGGGAUGACGGCUUUGGGGUGGUAAACCGCUUUCGCCUGUGACGAGGGGGGGGUGAGGGAAAGGGGUAAAAAAGCACCGGCUAACUACGU
rnacentral:rRNA from 1 species